UACGGAGGGGGCUAGCGUUGUUCGGAAUUACUGGGCGUAAAGCGCACGUAGGCGGCUUUGUAAGUUAGAGGUGAAAGCCCGGGGCUCAACUCCGGAAUUGCCUUUAAGACUGCAUCGCUAGAAUUGUGGAGAGGUAAGUGGAAUUCCGAGUGUAGAGGUGAAAUUCGUAGAUAUUCGGAAGAACACCAGUGGCGAAGGCGGCUCACUGGCCCGGUACUGACGCUGAGGCGCGAAAGCGUGGGGAGCAAACAGG
rnacentral:rRNA from 1 species